GGCGCGCUCGUCUAUCGGUCAGGACACGGCCCUCUCAAGGCUGAAAGACGGGUUCGAUUCCCGUGCGCGCUGCCA
rnacentral:tRNA from 1 species